UCAGCCGUAGGGAGCGGCCAUUAUAGACUACGCCAGAUCCCUGACAAGAGGGACUAGACUCAGAGGGUGUGGUUGGACAUGGUGGCUGGGGUGUAGGACUGCUGAUCACCCCCCACCCCAGAAGGGGAUGCGGAUGGACUAAGAGGCGCUGCCGGAGGGCAGUGGCCUCGAAGAGGACGCUGCCGAGCAGGGAGCAACGCGGGCCAGAGACGCCAACCGAGGGCGGAACAAUGGACGGGACACCACCAGGAGGAGGCACUCCACUGGACAGAGCUAAUUCCCAGAGUCACCAGUGGGAGGCACCAGGUGAUACCAUGAAGGACAAAGCACUCAUGGAGGAGGAGCAGAAGAAGGCUGAAAAUAACGUCGUUGAACAGCUGCAGUUGCUAAUUCCACAUGUUUAUUUGGGUAGCACACAUUACACCGUAACAUUUCAGUAACAGAACUCUUAUGAAUGAUCUAUCUUCAUUUUGCUCAUUUAAUAUGAUGGGGAGAUCUGUAACUUUCAUAUCAAUUCUCCACUUGCCAUAAUUGUCUUUGUUGGAUUUUCUCAUCAAAUUUCCUUGACGUGAGUUUUCUUUCAGUUCUCUGCAGCUCAGUAUUGGAGUUAUUUAGAACAUGUAGUUCCCCCCACCAACUGCCUUCCUUUUUUACUAGAUGGACCCUGUACCAACAAACAAAAUUACAUGACCAAUCAAUAGACUUUAUAGACACAGCGUUUUGAAAGACAGAUGUGAAUUGCAAUAAAGAUUUCAUCCAUU